UGUAAGCGUAUACCAAAGUUGUUGCAGUUAAAACGCUCGUAGUCGGAAUUUGGCAGUUCCGGAUGUGUGCACGUCGUGUGCGCCCUUCGCGGGGAUUGCUUUUGUGGUCUUGCGUAGGAUGAGGCACUUUUAUUAGUGAACGUCCUCACGCAACCACUUUUUACUGUGAGAAAAUCAGAGUGCUCAAAGCAGGCAUUUGCCGUGAAUGUAUUAGCAUGGAAUAAUAGAAUAGGACUUGGUUCUAUUUUGUUGGUUUGUUGGGACUGAGUAAUGAUUAAGAGGGACAGUUGGGGGCAUUUGUAUUUCGGUGCUAGAGGUGAAAUUCUUAGAUUACCGAAAGACAAACUGCUGCGAAAGCGUCUGCCAAGGAUGUUUUCAUUGA
rnacentral:rRNA from 1 species